CCUCAAAUCCCCUAUUUACACUCUCCAAUUUCAAGCCCUAAUUCCCCAAUUUUAGGCUUUAAAUCACACUAAUUUAAUGUCUAAUUAGUUAGAAAUCACCAUAGAAUCAAGUAUUGUGUUCAAAAAUCUUACCUCCAAGUGUUUUCUUUCUAAUACCUCUUCAAUCCCUCUCAAAAAGCAUCAAAACCGCUCAAUAAUGGUGAGAAAUGGGCAAAAAAUCGUGAAGACCUCUAUUUAAACAUUCUGCCCAGGUAUUAUUUCCUUCUUCGCGAACGUGGUCAAAUCCUCACGUUCGCGAAGCACAAAAUCACAGCUCAAACUUUUCCUCUUUCACGAACGUGAACACCACCUCGCGAACACGAUGCCUUGCCUAACUUGGCCUACGCGAACACGUUCCUCUGGCCACGAACGCGAUGCCUUAUGGCCUGAUGCCCAAGCCUGUUUCACCCUUCUACACGAACGCAAACUCUGCCACGCGCUCGCGAUGAACAUUCUAACUCAACCUUCACAAAUGCAGGACAAACAUGGCAAACACGAAGUGCAACUCGCCUGCCUCACUCAACAUCUCUUCGCAAACGCGAAAAACAAAUCUCGGCAAACAAAAUACCAGAAAAUCUGCUAUCUUUCCAAGGUCCAAAAUGAUCCGUUAACCAUCCGAAACUCACCCGAGGCCCUCGAGACCUCAACCAAACAUGCAAACACAUCCCAUAACAUCAUUCCAAUCUUCGGAAUGCUCAAAACAACAUCAAAACAUCAAAUCACCAUCGGAUUCAAGCCUAAGGAUUUCCAAACUUCCAAAUUCCGCAAUCGAUCAAAAAGUCUAUCAAACCUCGUCUGAAUAACCUGAAAUUUUGCACACACAUCCCAAAUGAUACAACAGACCUACUCCAAUUUUUGGAAUUCCAUUCCUACCCCGAUAUCAAAAUUUUCACUACCUACCGGAAAAUGCCAAAUUUCCGAUUUCGCCAAUUCAAGCCUAAAUCUUCCACGGACCUCCAAAACACAUUCUGAUCACGCUCCUAAGUCCCAAAUCACCUAACGAAACUAUCUGAACCAUCAAAAUUCAUAUCGGAGACUUUAUACCCAUAAGUCAAUAUCCAGUUGACUUUUCCAACUUAAGCUUACUCAAAAGAGAUUAUGUGUCUCACUCCUCUACAAAACCACUUCGAACCCGAACCAACCAACCUGAUACUACAUAAUACAGCUGAACAAGACAUAAAGAAGUAGAAAUGGGGGAAACUGAGCAGUAACUCAUAAAAUGACCGGCCUGGUCGUUACAAUAUAUAUAUAUAUUAUAUAUAUAUAUUAGGGCCAACAGUUUGGGCCAAAAUGAAAUAUCUUCCAAAAUAUUUGGAAGCCAUUAAACUUAUGCACCGGCUUUAUCUAAGGUUAUGAACUCAGUCUCCAUUGUAGAGCGGGCAAUACAAGUUUGUUUGGACGACUUCCAAGAUACCGCUCUUCCAUCAAUAGUGAAUACAUAUCCACUUGUGGACAUAGAAUCAGUUGAACCGGUGAUCCAAUUUGCAUCAUAGUUUCCCUCAAUCACUGCAGGAUAUUUACUGUAAUGUAAAGAAAAGUUAUGGGUAUGUUCUAAAUAUUCCAAAACUCGUUUCAUUGCCAUCCAAUGAGAUUAACUUGGAUUACAUGUGUAGUAACUCAAUUUACUUAUAGGAUAAGUUAUAUCUGGUCGUGUACGAUUCAUGAUAUACAUUAGACAUUCCAACACAUGAGCAUAAUCCAAUUGUGAUAUGCUCUAGCCAUUAUUCUUUUCUAGUGCAAGAUUUACGUCAAUUGAAGACUUUGCAACUUUAAAAUCUAAGUGCUUGAAUUUUCAAGUAUUUUUUUUAAUAUAAUGAGAUUGUGACAAUGCCAGACCUUGAGGAGUCUUAUGGAUCUUAAUACCCAAAAUUAAAUUGGCAACUCCCAAGUCCUUCCUAUCAAAUUUGCUAGUUAGCAUAUGCUUAGUCGCAUUUAUGUUGGCAAUGUAAUUACUCAUUAUUAGCAUAUCAUCCACAUAUAAGCAAUCAAUGACUAUGUGAUUUGGAACAUUUUUAAUGUACACAAAUUUAUCACAUUCAUUUGUCUUAAACCCAUUUGACUAUAUUGUUUGGUCAUAUUUUGCAUGUCAUUUUUUUGUGCUUGUUUUAGUCCGUAAAGGGACUUAACAAGUCUACGUACCUUCUUUUCUUUAUCUGGAACCACAAACCCUUCAAGUUGUUCCACAUAGAUUUCUUCCUCCAAAUCUCCAUUUAAGAAGGUCGUCUUAACGUACAUUUAAUGUAUUUCAAGACCAUAAACAACAAAUAAUGCUACUAACGUUCGUAAGGACGUAAUUCUUGUAACUAGAGAGUAUGUAUCAAAAUAGUCAAGACCUUCUCAUUUUCUAUACCCUUUGACCACAAGCCUUAUUUUAUAUUUAUCAAUAGUGCCACAAUCUUUCAUUUUCCUCUUAAAAGUCCCAUUUAGAAUCCAACGGUUUAUUUUUAGGAGGAAUAUCAACCAAUUGUCAUGUAUGGUUGUUCAAUAUGAAUUCUAUUUCACUAUUGAUUGCCUCUUUCCAAAAUAAUGAUUCCGAAGAAUAUAUAACUUCUUUAAAUGUUUGAGGCUUAUUUCUAUUAAGAAAGUCACAAAAUCUAGUCCAAAUGAAGUAGACGUUCGUUGACAUUUACUAUGUCUUGGAUUUUCCUAAUUAGACAUACUUUAUUAUGUUUCUUCCCGAGGUCGUUUAGAUCCUUCACCAAUCGACUCAUAUUUCUUUUUAUAUGGAUAUAUAUUUUUGAAGAACUCAACAUGAUCUGAUUCUAUAACCGUAUUAUUAUAAAUAUCGCAAUUUUCUGAUUUAUGAACUAGAAAUUGAUAUGUUUAACUAUUGGUCGCAUAUCCUAUGAAAAUACAAUCAACGGUUUUCGGUCCUAUCUUUACCCUUUUGGGUUUAGGAACUUACACUUUUGCCAAACACUCCCACACUUUAAAAUAAUUCAAGCUAGGCUUCCUUCGUUUCUAUUUUUCAUAUGGAAUGAAUUGCAUUUUGCUAUGGGGGUACUCGAUUUAGUAUCCGGUUAGCCGUAAGAAUGGCUUCCCCCACAAAUUCUGUGGCAAACCAGAACUUAUCAACUAGGCAUUCAUCAUCUCUUUUAAUGAACGAUUCUUUCUUUCUGCAAUCCCAUUGGAUUGGGGCAUCUGUGGGGCCAUUGUUUGAUGAAUAAUUCCAUAUUCUAAACAUAUUUCUUCAAAAAGAGAUUCAUGGUUAUGCGGCGCCUUCCUGAGACUCCUUGGAAGGGCGACGUAAGGCUAAGCAAUUGAUGUCAGUGCAGUUGCUGUCCGCCAACUGAGGUCCCCUCCAUACGAUAGACUAGAUUGUCAGUGCCGUAAGGGAAAACCAAUGCCAAGAGCAAUUGAGAGAACAGGAAUGAAAAUUGAGAAUGAAAGAAAGCUUGAUUGCAUUAAUGAAAGCUAUUACAAAAAGGCAACACGGUGUCGAGGAGGAGAGAUACCAGUACAGAGAAUUGUUUGCUUGCUAGAAAGUUUGAUUGCUUGANNNNNNNNNNNNNNNNNNNNNNNNNUGCGCGCGCGACGUUGUCUGCGCACGCGGCGCUGUUGGCAUCUGCCUGCGGUUGGGCACUGGCGAGGGAUAUCGGUGGGGCGACAGAGGCGCAUGCACGCUUGUCACUUGGCGCGGCCAAGACCACGGGGCCGUCCGUGGCGCUAGGCAUUGGAAAGCUUGCAAGGACGCCAUGGGGCGCGCCCAAGGGGUCAUGGGGCACGGUUGAAAAGCCGCUCAUGACAUUCUCCCCCACCUGAUUUGGCGACGUCCUCGGCGCCUUACUUGCAAGAUAAUCUUCAAUUAGGCUCUUGUAGGCUUUGAGGUUUGUUCCCCUUUCCCAAGUGUUCUCCUUUGCAUCACAGCCUUGCCAUUUCACCAAGAACUCUUGGUGAUCUUUCCUUGAGGCAUGAAUCACUCUAUCAUCAAGGAUAGCUUCAACCCGCCUUUUCCCGGUUGAAUUGGGCCCUCGAAUACUGGGUAUUGUGAGUUGGCUCCUUGAAGGGUCCUCCGUGUCUUCCCAAAAAGGUUUCAGAAGGCUGACAUGGAAGACAGGAUGAAUUUUCCACCAAGCUGGAGUAUCCACCCGGUAUGCAACUUUCCCAAUGCGCCUUUCAAUGGACAAGGGUCCAAUGUAUUUUUGCAAUAGGCGAGGUUCAUGGACCCCCGCAAAUAAGUAACGCUUUGGAAUUUUGACCAUCACUUUGUCUCCUACUUGGUAUUCAACAAAGCGACGAUUCUGAUCAGCAUGCCUCUUCAUCCGCUUUUGAGCCUUGACAAGAUAGCUCCGCACUAUCUCCAAAUUUUGCUUCCACUCUUUAGAGAAGCUAGCAGCUCGAGGAGAUUUAGACAUAUUUGGUGCAUUGACUGUGUGUGGGAGUAGCGGUUGCUGUCCGGUAACAAUUUCAAAAGCACUUUUGUUUGUACUAGAGCUCUUUUGUGAAUUAAAACACAGUUGAACAGUAUCCAGAAGCUUCACCCAAUUCUUCUGCGAUCCGGUUACAAAAUGAUGGAGAUAUUCCUCCAACAUACCAUUGAACCGCUCCGUCUGGCCAUCAGAUUGCGGAUGAAAACUUGAGCUGUGACUCAGCUUUGACCCAAGGCACUUAAAGAGUUGGGUCCAAAAGUUACUAGUGAAGCGUGAGUCACGGUCACUAACAAUGUCUUUGGGCAGGCCCCAAUAUUUGACGACAUGAGAAAAGAAGAGUCGAGCUGUAUCUUCUGCUGAUAUAUAUUGUGGGGCAGCAAUAAAGGUAGCAUACUUGGAAAACCGAUCUACCACAACCAAGAUAGUUGUUAGAUCUCCGACCUUGAGCAAUCCGGUGAUGAAAUCCAGGGAAACACUUUCCCAAGGUCUCUUUAGGACAGCUAGUGGUUCCAAGAGUCCCGCCAGUGUUAAGCGGUCUGACUUGUCCUUCCGGCAUACUAGACAAGUCUUCACAUACUGAGCAACGUCAUCGACCAUUUGAGGCCAAUAAUAUGCACGGUGAAGUAACGCCAUGGUGCGUUCUUCACCGGGAUGGUCGGCCCACAGAGUAUCAUGACAUUCCGCCAGAAGAGUCCUACACAGAUCUCCUCAUUUAGGAACAUAAAAUCGGUUCCCUUUCACUUUCAAAAACCCAUCUUCCAUGUAGAACUGGCGAGUCUUGCCCUGUCCUACCAAAUCAACCAAAUACUGUGCAGCAGGAUCCUUGAUGAGUAAAUCAUGUAUCUGGUCCUUGAUGGAGGUGGCUACUUCGCUCCCCCUUAGGGUGGCGAGUAGGCACACCGAUGCUAGAUCAGCUCUCCGACUAAGCGCAUCAGCAACAUGAUUGGUCUUCCCACUUCGGUACUCCAGGUUGAAGUGGAAUUCAGCUAGGAGUUCCUANNNNNNNNNNNNNNNNNNNNNNNNNUAGCUGUGUUGUCUGUCUUGACCACAAGGGGGUCCCCAGCAAAUAGUGCCUCCAGAGGCGCAAGUAGUGGACGAUAGCCAAUAAUUCUUUCUCAUGGGCGGCAUAGCGCCGCUCAGCAUCUUUCAGCUUCCGACUCUCGUACGCUACAGGAUGCGCUUCUUUUAGCAGGACUAGAUGCAUAUGUUUGUACUUCGAAUGGCUUGGCCAGAUCAGGAAGGGCCAAGACGGGGCUACUAGACAUAGCCGCUUUCAAUGCGUUGAAGGCCUCCACUCGCUUGGGUCCCCAUUCCCAAGGCGUAACCUUCUUGAGGAGUUCUGUCAAUGGUACUGCAAUGAGGGAGUAGUUUUUCACAAAUCGCUGAUAGAAAUUGCAUAGACCAUGGAACGGCCUCAAGGCGUGGAUAUCCUUAGGCGGAGGCCAAUCUGUGAUUGCCUGAAUCUUCUACUGGCCCAUCUUGAUCCGUCCUUCCUCGAUGACAUGUCCGAGGAAGUCAAUUUUCUUUUAAGCAAAGGAGCACUUAGAUAGCUUCGCAUAUAGUUCAUGCUCCCGCAAUUGAGCUAGGACCUUCCGCAAGUGCAUCAGGUGUUCCUCCAAUGUUUGGCUAUAUACCACAAUGUCAUCCAAGUAGACCACCACGAAUUCAUCAAUGUACUCUUGGAAGACUUGGUUCAUCAAAGUGCAAAACGUAGCUGGGGCGUUAGUCAAGCCGAAUGGCAUAACCAGGAAAUCGUACGACCCAUAUCUUGUCACACAGGUUGUCUUAUGCUCAUCACCCUCUGCAAUCUGAACUUGCCAAUAACCUAUCUUCAGGUCUAUUUUGGUGAACACCGUCGCACCACCUAGUCUAUCGAACAAGUCUACCAUUAGCGGAAUAGGGUACUUGUUCUUCACAGUAAUUUUGUUUAGAGCCCGAUAGUCCACACAGAGUCAUAGACUACCAUCAUGUUUCUUUUGGAAUAGCAAAGGGGACCCGUAUGGGGAUUUGGAGGGCACGAUAAUCCCUGUGUCUUGCAUUUCCGUCAAUUGUCUCCGAAUCUCAGUGAGUUCGGGUUGUGACAUUCUAUCAAUCUCAUGGUCCAUAGUGCACCUAGGCGGUAGUCGCUUUGGAAUGUCUUGUGGCAUGACAUCUUCAAACUCUAGUAGUAGCUCCUUCACGGGCUCAGGAAUGGGGACCGAUGAGCGUUCUACAUCUUCAAUGCAGAGGGUUGCAAGGAACAUGGGUUCAUUUCUUUUGACCCCCUUCUUCAACUGCAGGGCCGAAAUGUUUUCAACAGCCAUCUUCAUGGGCAUGCACGGGAUAAUGCAGGGCUUGGUCCUGUUUGCUCCCAUCAUCAGUAACAUGUCAGCAUACGGUACAGGCAUGGUGUUGGUUUGCCUCAGGAAUUCCAAUCCAACUAUCAACUCGAAGUCAUCUAUGAUCACCACGCGCAGGUUGAAUUUUCCUUCGUAAGGGCCAAGCUUCACCGGUACUUCUUUGGCUAUUCCACCCACUGGCUGGGGAGGUGAGUUGAUAGCCUUGACACGGCCUCUACCUUUCCCUACAACUAGACCAAGGUGCUCCACCUGAGUCAAGGCUAAGUAGUUGUGGGUAGCACCCGUGUCUACCAUGGCCCGAAUGGCUUGCCAUUCACCUUCAUCUCAACGAACAUUAAGGUCCUCUUGUGCUUAAGAGGAGCCUUAUCACCCGCCUUCUUUUUCCCUUUCUUGGUGACUGGAAAUGGGUCCUUCUUCUUACAGAUGCCAGCACUAGUCUCUGCUAAUGCCUCAGAAAUGGAGCCAACAAUUGCAUUGAAGGCACCUACUGGUUCAGUCUGAUCCGCAUCGUCUGAGUCGUCAUUAGUCCCAUCAUCAAAAGUCUGAUGGGCGUUCAUCUGUGCAUAUGGGCACUCAUUGUUCCAAUGUGGUUCGCCUCAAUGACGGCAUCCUGAAAGAGGCUUCCUCCCCCGAUCAUUGUUGCUAGACGCAGCAUUGUUGCUGCCUGUGAAGGGAGCCUUAGGUUUGGUUGAACCCCGAUCUCCCCCACUUCUGCUAGGGCCACCAUUGCUAGACUGGCCCCCUUUGAAUCCCGCUCGGGCAGGCGGCUGAGGCCUAUCCUUCCGAGCUUCCAUUUGAUAGUCCCCAAGGCAUUCAGCUACUUGGAUCGCCUUGGGCAGGCUAUCUACCCAUUGUCUUUGUAGCUCCAUACGGGCAUAAGGUUUCAGCCCUUCUAGGAAGGUGAAGAGCUUGUCUUUAUCCCCCAUGUCGCGUAUGCUUAGCAUGAGCGCGGAGAAUUCCCGCACGUAAUCCCGUACGGAUUUGGUUUGGCGGAGCUCCCGUAGCUUUCUCCUUGAAUUGUAUUCAAUAUUUUCGGGGAAGAACUGUAGGCGUAUGGCUGCCUUCAGUUCUGCCCAUGUUUCGAGAGCAUCUUCACCGGCCUUGAUGGCUUCAUAUUUCACCCGCCACCAGAGUUUAGCAUCACCCUGAAGAUACAUGGUAGCAGUUGCUACCUUCUUAGCUUCUUCUAGGCCCCCAACAGCAUCGAAAUAUUGUUCGACAUCAAAGAUGAAGUUCUCCACUUCCUUGGAAUUCCUAGCUCCACUGUAUGGCUUUGGCUCAGGAAUUUUCAGUUUUUGUGUCGUGGAAGUAGGGUUUGCAGCGCCCCCAAUCUGGUUUCCACUGCCUCAUAGCAUGCCUUGUAAAGCAACAUUGACGACAUUGAGCUUGUCUGUCAAGUCGUCAAUAGUUUGUUACAUGGCAGUCACCAUGUCUACCUCUUGUGCCCUGUAAGCUAAAUCCUCGGCACGCUCCUGUUGGAAUCCCUCGAAUUUGCCAAAUAUUUUGACUGCCUCUGUGGCUGCCGUUUGCCGGUCUCCCUCGGAGUCACGACUGAUGUUUUCAAUGUCAACUUCGGCCUGGAGCAUCCUGCGGUCCAGGUCGUCCAACCUUUGACCUAGGCUGGUUCUUAGUUCAGGCACCGUAUCCAUAAUGGGUAGUAAUCCGUCAACCGUCUGUUCAAGGGCCGCAAUGCGGUCCCCAUGAUUCACCAUGGUUAGAAAUGGUAGUAAUGGCAAUGCGUUCCCUCGUCCGAUGUUGAGCCUAGGCUCUGAUACCAAUUGUUACGCAGCGCCNNNNNNNNNNNNNNNNNNNNNNNNNAAAACCAAUGCCAAGAGCAAUUGAAAGAACAGGAAUGAGAAUUGAGAAUGAAAGAAAGCUUGAUUGCAUUAAUGAAACCUAUUACAGAAAGGCAACGCGGUGUCGAGGGGGAGAGACACCAAUACAGAGAACUGUUUGCUUACUAGAAAGUUUGAUUGCUUGAUCCCCCCUAAUAAUGCUUAAAAAAAUAAUCCAAAUCUACAAGACUAGACUUGAUUAAGCUAGAGAAACAUAAUGGAAGUACAUGGAAUAAAACUACUCUAUAUUUACAAUGAAAAAGACUUAGUUUUCUAUAAGGCAGAAACAGUUCCGUUGACAGCAGCAUAGUCAUUGGUAUCCGGGUCUACGCACGCGGCGUUGUAUGUGCACGCGGCGCUGUUGGCAUCUGCCUGCGGUUGGGCGCUGGCGAGGGAUAUCAGUGGGGCGACAAAGGCACAUGCGCGCUUGUCACUUGGUGCGGCCAAGACCACGGCGCCUUCCGUGGCGCUAGGCAUUGGAAGGCUUGCUAGGACGCCACGGGGCGUGCCCAAGGGGUCAUGGGACACGGUUGAAAAGCCGCCGAUGACAGUAAGGACGUAAUUCUUGUAACUGGAGAGUAUGUAUCAAAAUAGUCAAGACCUUCUCAAUGUCUAUACCCUUUGACCACAAGCCUUAUUUUAUAUUUAUCAAUAGUGACACAAUCAUUCAUUUUCCUCUUAAAAAUCCCAUUUAGAAUCCAACGGUUUAUUUUUAGGAGGAAGAUCAACCAAUAGCCAUGUAUGGUUGUUCAAUAUGAAUUCUAUUUCACUAUUGAUUGCCUCUUUCCAAAAUAAUGAUUCCGAAGAAUAUAUAACUUCUUUAAAUGUUUGAGGCUUAUUUCUAUUAAGAAAGUCACAAAAUCUAGUCCAAAUGAAGUAGACGUUCGUUGACAUUUACUAUGUUUUGGAUUUUCCUAAUUAGACGUACUUUAUUAUGUUUCUUCCCGAGGUCGUUUAGAUCCUUUACCAAUCGACUCACAUUCCUUUUUAUACGGAUAUAUAUUUUUGAAGAACUCAACAUGAUCUGAUUCUAUAACCGUAUUAUUAUAAAUAUCGCGAUUUUCUGAUUUAUGAACUAGAAAUUGAUAUGUUUAACUAUUGGUCGCAUAUCCUAUGAAAACACAAUCAACGGUUUUCGGUCCUAUCUUUACCCUUUUGGGUUUAGGAACUUACACUUUUGUCAAACACUCCCACACUUUAAAAUAAUUCAAGCUAGGCUUCCUUCGUUUCUAUUUUUCAUAUGGAAUGAAUUGCAUUUUGCUAUGGGGGUACUCGAUUUAGUAUCCGGUUAGCCGUAAGAAUGGCUUCCCCCACAAAUUCUAUGGCAAACCAGAACUUAUCAACUGGGCAUUCAUCAUCUCUUUUAAUGAACGAUUCUUUCUUUCUGCAAUCCCAUUGGAUUGGGGCAUGUGUGGGGCCAUUGUUUGAUGAAUAAUUCCAUAUUCUAAACAUAUUUCUUCAAAAGGAGAUUCAUGGUCAGCACCCCUAUCACUUCUUAUCAUUUUGAUUUUCUUGUUAAGUUGCGUUUCAACUUCAUUUUUUAUGGAUUUAAUGCAUCUAUUGCUUCAUAUUUACUAUUAAGUAACUAAACAUAGUAAUAUCGAGUACUAUCGUCAAUAAAAGUUAUGAAAUACUUCUUUCCACUAUGAGAUGGUAUUUACUUCAUGUCGGAAAUAUCUGUGUGAAUUAAGUCUAAAGCAUUUGAAUUCCUUUCAACUAACUUAUAAGGAUGUUUAACAUACUUAGUUUCCAUACAUAUUUGACGUUUUUAUUUGUCGCAUUCAAACUUAGGCAAUACUUCAAAAUUAAUCAUUUUUUGCAAGGUUUUAUAAUUGACAUGUCUCAAACGUAUAUGUCAUAAAUCAUUUGACUCAAGUAAGUAAGAAGAAGCUGAAAUUUUAUUAUUGUCAACGACCAUUACAUUCAAUUUGAAAAAGCCUUCAGUGAGGUAACAUUUUCCUACAAACAUCUUAUUAUUACUUAUUUUAAAACCUUAUCAGAUACAAAAACACAAUUAAACUUGUUCUUGACGAUAAGUGAAGUAGAGACUAAGUUCUUCCUAAUUUUAGUAACAUGAAGGACGUUAUUAAGAGUCACCACCUUGCUAGAAGACAUUUUCAGAAAUAUCUUGACGUAUCCUUCAAUCUUGGCCAUUGCAGAAUUUCCCAUGGAAAGCGUCUCUUCGGGUCCAACGGGAGCAUAUGUAGUAAACACUUCUCUAACAGCACAAACAUUGCGAGUGGCUCCAGAAUGAAUCCACCAUUCCUUAGAAUUUCCCACCAGGUUGCAUUCAGAAAGCAUAGCACACAAGUCAUCAAUAUCCUCGUGCUUUUCAACCAUGUUUUCUUGACCCUUCUUCUUGUCUUUCCUUGGAGCACAACAAUCUACAGAUUUAUGUCCAGCUUUCCCUUAGGUUUAGUAAUUUCCUUUGAACUGCUUCUUGCUUGGGUUUCUUUUUGGUCUAGAAGGCUUUUUCCUCUUUUUAUUAUUUUGAGGAGCAUCCUCAACAAUGGUUGCUCCCAUUAUUGUUGAGUUUCUAUGACCUUUCUUUUCAACAACUUUAUUGUCUUCUUCGAUCCUCAACCUAGGGUAAAAAGGGUGAAACAACCAAGAAUUCAAGGGUUAAAAGGGGAAUUGGUUAGCUAGACUAGGGCUGCCUUAGGCAUGCCUAUAUAAAGACCUCUUUCCCUUCAUUUUCGAGCAGCCUUUAAUACUCUAAAAAUACAGAAAUAUUCUGCAUCAUUUUGGCCUAAAUUGCUCAGAAUUACUCUUUAAGUUCAUUGUUAAUAAUAGCUUAAGACUUCCAAAGAAUAUUCUGGUUCAUUUUGGGUUCAAAAAUGGUCUAAGGAAGAUAAAUAUAAUGUGAUGUUUGGCUGAAUUGCACAUUUCUGCUGCUGCUGAUUUACCUCAUAUUUCUUUGCUCUAAUUUCGGCCCCCAGGAACUUCUUGGACUCUAUGAAUGUGUGAAAUGCAAGUUUGAAGCCAUGUAAUCAUUGGAGAUCUAAGGAUGAAUAUUAGUUUCCUUUUAUUGAAUAUUAGCUUAUGUCUUGAAUGUUUUCUGUAUUAACUUAGUGUUAUUAUGGUUUAUUGUAUUCAUUCAUGUCAUUGAUUCUAGAUCUCGUCUUAGGGUUGGACUUUGGAUUCUAGUUUAUUAUGUUGGAUUUGCUUGUCAAAAAUUCUUCCUGCUGAGUGAUUAGUUACUGGGCUAUCAUGGAUUGGUUUUCUUUUAUUAUAGGAAGAAUAUCUUUUGUCGGGUGUUUGUUUAAAUAUGUUUGGUUCAAGGGUCAUUUCAGAUUAGGGUAGUGUACAUAAAUCGAGAAAAGUAGACUAUGUUAGUUUGAUUUGGAUUUACUGGAUUUUGAGAAUGCUUCUAGCAAUUAUGAAUAAGUAUUUGUAAGAUUAGUUUGUUUCUAUGUUUUGUUUUGUACAAGUGAAGAUUCAGUCAAAGUUUUGUUUUCUCUCUUCGGUUAACAUGCCACUAUGCCCAAUUCAAUAAGUAACGUUCCAUGGCCUGUAUGACUGAGUUUAGUAGGUUGAUCUCCAAUUAGCAUUGUGUGUGUUUGCCUUCAGUUUAGAAUUGGGCCAAACAGGUUAUCCUAUUUAAUAUGAGGCCCCAAAUGAAUCGGACUCAAUUUCCCAUUGGUCUUGGGCCCAAUUUCAGGCCCAAGAGUCUUCAGCCUUGGCCCUUUCCUUUUUGUUUCUUGUGCCAUAAAAAAAUAAUUCAUAAUACAUAGUUUGUUGUAUUGUUGGGCUUGUUCCUGGCCCAACUUCACCGCUAGAAAGUCUGACUCUUGGGUUAAAUGGUGGGCUCGAUUCUGAGCCCAAUUUUAAGUGUUGCUUAUGAAUCAUUCAAGGAGCCCGUUGUAGGCUCAGCUUUCUCUUUUGAAAUAAGCAAAGAUCUGUCGAUUGGUCUCAAUGCACUUAUGAUUGGUACGUUAAAUUGAAUCUUGAGUUAGAUUAGUUCAUUUUAUUUGUAAUGAAAUUCUCCUCUUAAAAAUGGAAAGAGGUAUGCCAUUUUAGUUAAAUCACCAAUGGCCGUCACAAAAUACUUUAUUUAGUUGCUCAAAAUGAACUUCGUAGUUUGCUUUAGGCGCGUUAAUUAUAUAAUUAUCACAGUUAUUACUAAAACCCGGGGGUACAUUUCAUGUGGCCCCGUUCUAAUUUCCAACAAUGUUAAAUAGAACAUGUCGUGAAUCACGGGUGCAUUUCAUGUGGCGUGGCUUGCGAUGUGUUUUAAAUAGCCUUGAAAUAAUUCCUUAAAUCAAUAAAAGCGACUAAAAGGCUAAAAACGCGUGGUAGGUUUAAAACGUGUAAAAAUCAGAUAAUUAGGCCAAUAAUAAUAGUUGAGCGACCGUGCUAGAACCACGGAAUCCGGAAAUGCCUAACACCUUCUCCCGGGUUAAUAGAAUUUCUUACCCAGAUUUUUGUGUUCGCAGACUGUAAAACAGAGUCAAUCUGUCCUCAAUUCGGGAUUUGAACUGGUGACUUGGGAUACUAUAAAUCAUCCCAAGUGUAGACUCUGAACUUUAAACAAAAUAAUCCAUUUCGAUUGUCACUUAAAUUGAAAAAAAACUCUCUUAUACCCCUUCCGGAGGUAGGAAAAAGGAGGUGUGACAGCCCUGGCGACUCUGUUGGGGAUCGAACCCAGAAUCUCUGGUUUCGUAGACUAGGGUUCAAGAAUUCAAGCUUAGAAUAAUUGUUAUAUUUGGCUUUAUUUAUUAUCUGGUUUUAUUUACACGUUUGGGCCUAAUGUGUUAAAUGCUGCUUUUUACCGCUUUGAUAUUGUUGAACUGUAUAUAAAUUGUUGUGAAACCAUCCUCUCUCUGAGUCUUCUAAAUCAUCUGAGAAGGGUGCACUUCGUGUAGCUUUUGUUCUGUUAGAGUCGUAUCCCAAUUUUAGAACAAGGUUCGGACAAGUUGCAAAGCCGGUGAAGCUUCUGUAUUCCCGGUAUGCUACCCCCCUCGGCUCGAGUUGUCCACUCGGGUAAGCCAGGUCUAGAACAAAUAAACCCAGGUUUUCAAAUCUAGUAUAACAUAGCCUCAUGGAUGCCUAGUAGGAACGCUUGUUUGCAUCAUGUGCAUUUUGACUUUGGGGACUCAACACAGGGGUUGGGUCCAUCUAGGACAAGUGUACCCAAAAUCAAAAGACCAUCCUGAUGCAUUUUACUUGCUACUUGUGCACUUAUUUGACUCGGAUUGCAUGUUGACCGGCUUCUAGAAUAUUGAGAAAAAAACAAAUUGAGGUGAGAGAGAGAGGAAAUUACUCGCCUGUGAAAAACCUGGUGUCCAAAAUACCCCAAAACUCUGCUGAAAUUUUCAGACAAAAAAGGAAAAUAAAGUUAUUUCAAAAAGUUUGUAUUUUCUGUUGCGUUAAAAUUGACUGAACUAUGCAAGUGUGAUUCUCACCGGAUGUGGGAUACAUAGGUAACCCUCAUCGGGUCCAACCCUUUUUUGCAAAAAUAACCCAAAAAUAUGAAGUGUCGUUGUUUUGUCAUAAAUAAGUUAGGUUAUGGUGUUCUUGUCCGAAAUAGCCUAGAUGCCCCAAGAGGGCACCGGAAGGUUGCUCUUGCAGGAAUAGCCACCUAAGGUCCUUUUUCAGAUUUUGGCCAAUUAACAAACACAACCCUAAAAUUGUCUUUAUUGAAGUGUUGAGGGGCUGUAUUCGCAAAAGUGUUUUGUUUCAAAUUGCAAUUUUCGAAAAUUGGUAUUUUUCUCUUGAGUCAAAGUAAAUCACAGACUUUUAAUCGGUCACUUUAUAUAAAUGUGCAGGAUGAGCACGAUUGAAAAUGAACCUUUCACAAUCCUCGAGGAAAUCCUGUUAGAACUACGUAUGUGGUGGAAUGAUUUGGGAGAAGUCAGCCGAGAUAUUGUGAUAAAAUCUUUGGGUGGUCUUGUUGGGCUUCUGAAGAUUAGGCCGAGGAAGGAUAUAAUUGAGGCUUUGAUACACUUCUAGGACCCAACACAUAAUGUGUUCCAUUUUGCUGAUUUUGAGCUAACCCCUACGCUUGAGGAAAUAGCGGGCUACGCUGGUUUUAGUGGGAAUCACAUAAAUCAAUACCCGGUGGCACCUAGAACAGUGACUCCUCAUAAGUUUCUGGAUCUUCUAAGCAUCAGUCGGGAAGUUCAAGAUGGAAAUUUGGCCAAGGGAUUCUGCACAUUCUACUUUUUGUACCGAUGUUACGGGAAUCCCCGCAGUUUUGAGAUGCCAUACACCGGUCUUACUCAUUCAGGGAACAAAGAUAAGUGGGAAGCUCGGCGGGGAUUGUCUUUUAUAGUGGCAUUCCUAGAUGUUUUGAUUUGUCUAAGAAAAGAUAGAAACAUAGAAUUGGGGCUUGUGGGAAUAGCCGACUUCAUGACUAAAAAGGCAAAUGGCACCAUUGUUCUGAUGAUAUUGGCAGAGAUUUACCAAGCUCUAACUGUUUGCCGAGAAGGAGGGAAAUUUUUUGAAGGAUGCAAUAUGCUUCUACAACUCUGGAUGGAGGAAUAUAUUUGCCACCGUCCGGGGUACAUGAACCGUGGAAUGAUCGGUCUUAAAUGCAUUGAAAACAUGAACAACGGUGGAGGGUCAUGAGUUUCCAGAUGGUACAGAAGCAUGGUUUGCACAUUUGAGCUCCCUGACUGCAAACAAGAUUGAAUGGACAUUCGGGUGGCUCUCGGUCAGCGAAGUUAUUUAUAUGUCGGCCGAGGUGUGGUUUCUUCUAUUGAUGGGUCUGCGGAGCAUUCAGCCUUAUGCCCCGCACAGAGUUCUACGCAAGUUAGGAAGGUACCAGACUAUCCCACAUGAUGAGGAUUUGAGUCGGCAGGUUAUCGAACUGGAACCAAAAGCUGCUUUCCCAGAAGAAAGGGUGGGUCGGAUUUGGCAUCAAUGUAGGUUCUUUGAGCCAAAGACUCAGGUACGAGAUCUAUCCAGAGGCGAGUUGGAGCCUAGUUACACAACUUGGUACGGUAAAAGGUCUCAAGUCCAUCAAGAGCCCGAACGACCCGCCAAAAGGCCCCAUGUCCAACAAUUCAUUAAUGGAGCGCAGGAGCUGUGAGCACGUGAUUUUUGCCCUAUAUGAAUUACUCCUAUAAAUUCAAAAUAAAAUAGUUUCUUUCAGUACUUACAAUUUUGUGGAUUUUUAUGGCAUUGUUUGUUAAUUGUUUCCAUUUUAUCUGUGCAUUUUAAUUCAUAAAAAAUACAAAAAAUAUCUUGUUUUUUUUUUUUGCAUUUAGGAUUUAACUUUGCAUUUUUGGAUUAAUUAACAAAUUGGUUGUUUUACAAAAUUGGAAGAUCACAAAAAUGAUUUAUUUUGGCAUUGUUUAAUUUUUAGCUUUGAAUUUUGUUAGCUUUCCUUUAAUUUGGUAUUUAAUUAGUUGUGAUAAUUACUAGAGUUAAUUAAUUUAAUUUGGUAAGAUAAUUUGGGUUAGGAAUUAAGUUAGGUUUUAUUUUUGUUUUAAAAGAAAAAGGAAUUAGAAAAAAAAAAGAGUUGAAAAGGAAAAGGAAAAGAUUUUGAAAAAGAAAGGGAAAUCAGAUUUUUUUACAUUUUGGGCCGAAUUAGUAGCAGCCCAAGCAAUUUUCCUCAAAACCGAACAGGACCCGCCCCAGCCCACUCCCAUUUUCGGUCCAAAUCCCAUUAAAACUCCAAAACGACGUUGUUUUGGAUCGUUUAAUCUCAGCCUUUCAUCCAUCUUUGAUCCAAUGGACCGGAACUAAUCUCCCAAUUCCCAUAUAAGUGUCCUAAGAGACCCCCCAAACCUAAAAAUCACCCCCCCCAUUCUCCUCCAUCUCCCUCUAAAGCAAACCCUAGCCGCCCCAAAACUCCCACUCCUCCAAGCUGGCGCCGCCGCCGCCCAGGGCUUUCAAAUCCGCCCAAACUUUUAAUCCUUUGUUUUUCUAUCCAAAUGAGUAGGUUGUCCCUCUUUUGUUCUUGUCUUUGGAUCUGGAGCGUUUUUUUUUUUGGGGCAAGAAUGGACAUAGUGACACAAAGUAUUAGCCACUAAUUUAUUUUAGGCCAUACUUGUGUCAUUAUUUUCAUAUUUGAUCAAAAAUAUUUUGUUUGAGAUGCGUCCUUGGGUUGACGAAGAAGACUUGAGCAAGUCAUGCAUGCAAGGAGUUUAAAAUUUUCUUUGUAUAGUUUUUUCAUUGCUGCGUAAAAAAAAAAGAGGAAAAGAGAUUAAGAUGUAAUUUUUAUUUUCCUUUUCAUUAGAAUUUUCGUCUAGUUUGUUUCGUUUUUCCUUUCUUUAUUUAGUAUUUCGUUUUUUGUUCUGUUUUGUUCUUGUCACGUUUUUUUUCUUUCUUUGCAGUAUGUUUGUUGCCGUUCUUUUCUCUUUAUUUGGGUUCAUGCCUUAGUCAAUCAUUUUUCCACCUUUCUCCAUCCGGACUAGAGUCCACGAGUAAAAGUUUGGUUUAAAUUUGUUGGGCUUGUGGCCCAAUCUGUUUUAAGGAUAAGAGAGUUUUUUUUUCGGAGAGGUAAAUACCAGUGUUAGUAAGGGUGUUUAGGGCAUUUUAGGACCAAAGAAUAAUCUGAUAACCACCUAGAAAAGUUCUAGGAAGGUGAGAGAGGGGGUGUGAAUGAGUAAAUAGUGCUAAGUUUAGGUGAAUUUAAGUAACAAACAGAUUUGCUAAGGGUAGGUUUUGAUUUUAAAAAUUCUGAUUUGUUGCCCUAAGGAGAGGGCUAUAAAUACACAUUAGAGGUUAAAAUAAAAGGAGAAGAAAAAAAGAGGAGACGGCAGAAUCAGAAUUAAAAAAAAUCAGCUUUUUCUUAGUUUUUUUUUCGAUUUCCUUAAGCAUCUUCUUGGUUUGCUCUAUUGAUUCUGGGUUGGAGGAAGCAUUGAAAAGAACUCUUCUUGCUGCUUAGUAUUGCUGAACUCCAUUUUUCAGUUUCGAAUUUAGUUUUGAUUCACUUUUAAUAGGUAUGUAAACUUCAUCUUGAUAGGAAUUUGGGAUGAACUAUGUCUCUUUGGCUUGAUUUUAUUUCAUUACUAAAAAUAUCUCAAAAGCUAAAAAUAUUGCAUAUGGGAUUUUAUUGUGAAAGUGCUUAUUAAAUUACCAUUACAGUUCUGUAGUCAAAAGAGGAAGGUGAAACGUGCAUGCAAAGAAUAAGCAUCUUCCUUUUAAUCAAUGUGCAUCUUAGGUAAAAGUAGGAGUAUUAAAUAGCAUAAGGAUGGGGGUACGCAUGAUAUAUGUAAAAAUAGUAUGCAUAUUUGGAGUCUUGAUCUAUUUCUAUGUUUGGUGUUUGAGAUUCAAGUAUAAAAGGAAUCUAUAAAUGGAAUGGACUUCAUUUGCAUGAUUUGUUGUGGUGAUGCACGUUUCUUUGGUUACUGUUUCAUAGUCAAUUUUUUAUUAUUCAAAAACAGAAUGCAAUUGGUAUCGGAUCUUUCCUUUUAUGCUAAUUUUCAAUUGAAG
rnacentral:lncRNA from 1 species